rnacentral:misc_RNA from 1 species
CCUAGAGUUGUAGGCUUUGCCUGCUAUCUCUUACCCAUGUCUUUUGAGUACCUUCGUUUCCUCGGCGGGUCCGCCCGCCGAUUGGACAAUUUAAACCAUUUGCAGUUGCAAUCAGCGUCUGCAAAAACUUAAUAGUUA